UCCUUUUCUGAGUCUCUCUUCGCAGAUUGGAGGCCAGAAAUAAAAGCAGUGCACAGUCAGCAAAGGACCGAGAAGCCUUUAAAUAUUCGUACUCUGCAGCCAAGAUCCUACUUGUGUAGGAUGAACUUGCCACCACUUCUGAUCGCUGCUCAUAGCCCACCUGCUGCGGGUUACUGCUUGCAUAGCCCAGCUAACAGAAGAGCUUGCAUGAGCACUCACAUCAGUCCGGCUGGCGAGGUCAUCAGCUGUUUUAACCUAACCUAGCUGUGCCUGUCGUGGAUGAGGUAAGCGCACUUACUUCCAUUACAAGAUUUAUCUGGGUGAUACUUUUCAGCAGCAAGGCCGGCAAUGAAGACAUGAUAUUCUGACAUCCUCAGCCAGCUCUGCUAUUUGCAAAGUCAGCGGCUGUCACCACAGCCUUAAGCGACUGACUCAGAACAAAGCGAUGCCUGUCAGGAUCCCGCAUUUGGCCCUGCUCAGCCUGCAAUUUACUUCAGGGUGAACUUUCAAGAUCUGAAGAUUUAUAACUUUAUACCUCUACGUUGCCUCAAGGAGGGGGACUCCCCUGCCAUUACCAUACAGUUACAUAUAAAUCAUUGUUUGCAUCACUGAC
ensembl:lncRNA